CCUACGGGCGGCAGCAGUGGGGAAUAUUGGACAAUGGGCGAAAGCCUGAUCCAGCCACGCCGCGUGUGUGAAGAAGGCCUUCGGGUUGUAAAGCACUUUCAGUGGGGAAGAAAGCCUUGGGGCUAAUACCCUCGAGGAAGGACAUCACCCACAGAAGAAGCACCGGCUAACUCCGUGCCAGCAGCCGCGGUAAUACGGAGGGUGCGAGCGUUAAUCGGAAUUACUGGGCGUAAAGCGCGCGCAGGCGGUCUGAUAAGCCGGGUGUGAAAGCCCCGGGCUCAACCUGGGAACGGCAUCCGGAACUGUCAGGCUAGAGUGCAGGAGAGGAAGGUAGAAUUCCCGGUGUAGCGGUGAAAUGCGUAGAGAUCGGGAGGAAUACCAGUGGCGAAGGCGGCCUUCUGGACUGACACUGACGCUGAGGUGCGAAAGCGUGGGUAGCAAACAGGAUUAGAUACCCCAGUAGUC
rnacentral:rRNA from 1 species